rnacentral:rRNA from 1 species
UACGGAGGAUUCGAGCGUUAUCCGGAUUUAUUGGGUUUAAAGGGUGCGUAGGCUGUUCAUUAAGUUAGUCGUUAAAUCUCAGGGCUCAACCCUGACAUGGCUAUUAAUACUGGUGAACUAGAGAUUAGAUGCAGAGGGCGGAAUGUGUAGUGUAGCGGUGAAAUGCUUAGAUAUUACACAGAACACCGAUUGCGAAGGCAGCUCUCUAAUCUACAUCUGACGCUGAGGCACGAAAGCGUGGGGAUCAAACAGG